AUUGAACGCUGGCGGCAGGCUUAACACAUGCAAGUCGAGCGGAGAUGAGGUGCUUGCACCUUAUCUUAGCGGCGGACGGGUGAGUAAUGCUUAGGAAUCUGCCUAUUAGUGGGGGACAACAUUCCGAAAGGAAUGCUAAUACCGCAUACGCCCUACGGGGGAAAGCAGGGGAUCUUCGGACCUUGCGCUAAUAGAUGAGCCUAAGUCGGAUUAGCUAGUUGGUGGGGUAAAGGCCUACCAAGGCGACGAUCUGUAGCGGGUCUGAGAGGAUGAUCCGCCACACUGGGACUGAGACACGGCCCAGACUCAUACGGGGGGCAGCAGUGGGGAAUAUUGGACAAUGGGCGGAAGCCUGAUCCAGCCAUGCCGCGUGUGUGAAGGAGGCCUUUUGGUUGUAAAGCACUUUAAGCGAGGAGGAGGCUACCUGGAUUAAUACUCUAGGAUAGUGGACGUUACUCGCAGAAUAAGCACCGGCUAACUCUGUGCCAGCCGCCGCAGUAAAAC
rnacentral:rRNA from 1 species